rnacentral:rRNA from 1 species
AUUGAACGCUGGCGGCAGGCCUAACACAUGCAAGUCGAGCGCGCGGCGGCCGGGUGAGUAAUGUCUGGGAAACUGCCUGAUGUAGGGGGAUAACUACUGGAAACGGUAGCUACUACCGCAUACCCUCAGAUAUGCCCCGAUGGGAUUAGCUCGUAGGGGGGGUAACCGCUCACCUAGGCGACGCUCCCUAGCUGGUCUGAGAGGAUGACCAGCCACACUGGAACUGAGACACGGUCCAGACUCCUACGGGAGGCAGCAGUGGGGAAUAUUGCACAAUGGGCGCAAGCCUGAUGCAGCCAUGCCGCGUGUGUGAAGAAGGCCUUCGGGUUGUAAAGCACGUUCAGCGGGGAGGCGUUACCAACAGAAUAAGCACCGGCUAACUACGUGCCAGCAGCCGCGGUAAUAC